GCUGGGAAGCUCAUCAGUGGGGCCACAUCCUGAAUGCUCAUCACUCCCUGGCCCCUGGGCAGGUCUGAGACUAGAGCCUCCACAAGCGAGGAGGUGAAUUCCCAGAGAGCAGGGCUCCACACGCAUGCAGACUGCACAGGAGAGGCUCCAAGUGGGCAGAUGCCUCCCUUGGGAGCUUGAAACAGACUCACAGCCAGGGCGAGCAGUAUUAGCAUGCAAGAGAAGCUCUGUGGCUCUUACAGAGGAGAAAAAGACACAGCAAGGGCCAUUUCCCUCAGU
rnacentral:RNase_P_RNA from 2 species